GUGAGGAAUAUUGCGCAAUGGAGGCAACUCUGACGCAGCCAUGCCGCGUGCAGGAAGAAGGCGCUACGCGUUGUAAACUGCUUUUAACCGGGAAGAAACCCCAGGACGUGUCCUGGGUUGACGGUACCGGAGGAAUAAGCACCGGCUAACUUCGUGCCAGCAGCCGCGGUAAUACGAAGGGUGCAAGCGUUAUCCGGAUUCAUUGGGUUUAAAGGGUGCGUAGGCGGAGCGUUAAGUCAGUGGUGAAAUCCUGCAGCUUAACUGUAGACUUGCCAUUGAUACUGGCGCUCUUGAGUGCGCUUGAAGUGGGCGGAAUGUGCCGUGUAGCGGUGAAAUGCUUAGAUAUGCUACGGAACACCGAUUGCGAAGGCAGCUUACUAUUUCGUAAUUGACGCUGAGGCACGAAAGCGUGGGUAGCGAACAGGAUUAGAUACCCGUGUAGUCC
rnacentral:rRNA from 1 species